ensembl:lncRNA
AGCGGGACUCCCGGGGUGGCGCGCGCGCCACCAACCGUCACCUCCUCGGGACGCCUUUCCCGCCCACCCCGGUUGCUAGGCAGAUUUGGACAAACUUGCGGUUUCGCCCCGCCCCCUGCCCCCUUCUCCCCGCCCCCUUCGGUAUAGCCCCGCCCACAAGUCCCUUCGCCCCGCCCCCUCCGGCACGGGGGUGGAGUAUUGCUUUUUUUUUUUUGAAAGAGAAGAUUGACGGCUACGAUGUCCAAUGAGAAGCCGGGGUUACAAAUCCCACCAAUCCCGCCAGCCAAUCGUAGCCACAGCCCGCCUUCGGCCAGCCCCCAAUGCAAAGCCGCGAGGAAUGAGGCGGGGCGAUUUUAUGAUUGACGGGCAGCGCGACCAAUAGGCUCCAAGAGACACCACGCUGAAGGCGAUGUGUGCGGUAAAUCCCCUUCUUCCACCCGUUGCGCAGCCCCGUUUGGCCGCAGCCGAUGAAGGGUUAACAGCGCGGCUCAGCCCCGGGGCCUCCACAGCUCCCGGCUUCACCUGAGGCGGUCGGGAACUGCAGGGCGAGCUGCUCGAUGAGCUGGCGGCGAGCUGAAGCUGUUUUCCAGAAGUCUCCAUCAUCCACGGGUUAAAGCUUUCAUGAAGCGAGUAGCUUGUUGGAACGAAACCUGCUGUAAGGGGAAACGUAGGGCGCUAGCUGAGCAGCUCAGGUGGUGCUUUGGAAAGAGGCAGUACGCAACAAGUUCUAAAACCUGCAGUUUCUUCACGGUUUCGCUGGCGGACGGAUCGGUUCCGUGUCUUUCUUCCUUCUAAAUUCCGUGUCAAAACGUAAAAACACCUGCCUGAACUCUUCCAGUUCUGGGAUGUGGAGACAGAAAGCACUCUUCCCUUAAACCACCACAUUGUGGAGAUCAGACACGAUAUCCUCCUUGAGUGCACAACUGCGGUGAAAGAAAUACUUCUGGCUUAGACCAAAUUAAGAAAUAACAACGCCAGCUGCUCGAUCAACCUGCAGGAGCCUUCAUGUAACCCUGACAUCUGCCAGCUUCCAGCAGUCCCUGCAGCAAGUUCCUCGCCACCUCAGCGUGCAGAGGAGAGGAGUCAGGUUCCCCAUCAGGAAAUUCCGGUUCUCCUUGCAGGGCAGCAGCCCUGGUACAGCGGGGCAGGCAGAGCUGCGAGGCAGCCCAGGUCCCGGCAGGGCGAUGGGAAGGGCCCCGAACGCGCCCUCUGCGGGCAGGACUGCCUGAGGAUCGCUGAAGGAAUUAGUAUUCUACCAACUGCUAGAAGAAGAGUUAGUGUAUGUACAGCUUCAGAAAGGAGCGUGGGCAGAAGGCUCGCUGCAGGAAGCAAUGAAAGACACUGGCUAAGACAGACAGUAGAAGAGCACAGACCGGUGGGAUUUCAUCCCGAAGCCUCCAGGUGUUCCAGGCAGCCUGAGCUACAGCUGCACCUCCCCUUGCUGUUACCACUGAGAAACUGGUGCAUCCCAAGGGAGCGGGGAUGGCUCUGCGUGGGUUGGAGGCUGGGGAUGAGCAGAGGGGGACGCCCCCAAACCCUUUCCAUCGCAGUUUUCCUUUCUGGCAGAUUUGCAAAACGGAAUAAAAAUCAAAGCAGUGAAGCAACGCGGCGCAGUUGUGCUGCACCUCGCGUGCCUACGGGCGGUGUAACAACUGAAGGCCCAGCUACUUGUCAGUGUACAUUUUUGCACGUGUGGGACAACAGAGAAAGCUCGUGGGUUUCCUUUCUCUGUUUUUAA